rnacentral:rRNA from 1 species
CCUACGGGAGGCAGCAGUGGGGAAUAUUGCACAAUGGGGGGAACCCUGAUGCAGCGACGCCGCGUGAGUGAAGAAGUAUUUCGGUAUGUAAAGCUCUAUCAGCAGGGAAGAAAAUGACGGUACCUGAGUAAGAAGCCACGGCUAACUACGUGCCAGCAGCCGCGGUAAUACGUAGGGGGCAAGCGUUAUCCGGAUUUACUGGGGGUAAAGGGAGCGUAGACGGCAGUGCAAGUCUGGAGUGAAAGGCGGGGGCUCAACCCCCGGACUGCUCUGGAAACUGUACGGCUGGAGUGCAGGAGAGGUAAGUGGAAUUCCUAGUGUAGCGGUGAAAUGCGUAGAUAUUAGGAGGAACACCAGUGGCGAAGGCGGCUUACUGGACUGUAACUGACGUUGAGGCUCGAAAGCGUGGGGAGCAAACAGGAUUAGAUACCCUUGUAGUC